GUACCUACGGGAGGCAGCAGUGAGGAAUAUUGGUCAAUGUGCGAGAGCCUGAACCAGCCAAGUCGCGUGAAGGAUGACGGCCCUAUGGGUUGUAAACUUCUUUUGUCAGGGAGCAAUUGAGUCCACGUGUGGGCUUAGCGAGAGUACCUGAAGAAAAAGCAUCGGCUAACUCCGUGCCAGCAGCCGCGGUAAUACGGAGGAUGCGAGCGUUAUCCGGAUUUAUUGGUUUUAAAGGGUGCGUAGGCGGAAUAUCAAGUCAGCUAUAAAAAUUCGGGGCUCA
rnacentral:rRNA from 1 species